GGCUGAUGAAGUGUCUGUCGCUGUGCGGGGAGAGCGCGGCCGCUGUGCCCUCAGUUGAGAUGGCGGCGGGGCGGUCUCUCGGCGCGGACAGGACGGCGGCGGCGGGGAGCGGCGCUCCAGCCCCUGGCGGAGCUCGCGUGGCUGCGUGAGGGGACGGGACCCACUGCAGCCUCGCUGCCCCACAGGGAACCGCCUUCCCCUUUUCCAAACCUCCCGUUCCCCCGCAGCUCCCCCCCCGCUUCCCAGCCAGAGGGAACCCGUUCUCUGCCCGCCACCCCAUCUUGGGGUCACUUGUCCCCUGGUUCCUGAGGUUCCUCCGGGUGGGCGUGGGGCGGGUUUGGGUCGGGCCGAGCCGAGGCCUGGCUCCCGGGGGGCUGCUCUGCAGGGAACACCCCCCGCCCCAGCAGCGCUGCUGCUCCGGUUUAUUUUCGUAUUUCCCGCCCCUGCCACUGCCCCCAGCAGUGAACCAGCAGACUGCAGGUCCCGAAGGGAUCUGCUCCUCCUCCCCACCCCUUAAGGGGCGGUAAUCACUGCGGGGAGUCAGAAAAGGAUGCUGCAGGAGCUGGGGUUCCCUUCUAAAUCUGUCUUUUCUCACUUCAGAGCUCCGCCGGGGCUGCAGGACUCUCUGGCCAUGAUGAUGCGUGGAAACAAGUUUACAACCUAUAAAGUCAUAAAACUUCACAACUCACAAGGUUAUAAAGCAGGUUCAGAGCCCGUGCCUCAUUUGGUUAGAUCUGUAAACAUUGAACAUCUCCUCAGCAGGAAUCACAGCUGCAUUUCUCACAGCCAGAACCUGGGCCACAUGUGGCAGCGAUGGGGGAGCUGUAAGACCCGAAAGCCCAUGGCAAGCACAGCUGAAGCUGCACGGCUGCCCUGGGCAGCUCUUACUGCUCCCUGGGUGCUCCCCCAGGGGAUGUCCCCUCCCUCUGGGCUCCGCGCUGCUGUCGUGGCGCCCUCAGACCUGCGAGAAGAUGAGCAACUUUAAGGAGGCGCGUGUCAGCCUGGCAGAGGACAUGCAUGCAAUGCAGGAGGCGCAUUCCAGCCUGGCAGAGGACGUGCAUGCAAUGCAGGAGGCGCAUUCCAGCCUGGCAGAGGACAUGCAUGCAAUGCAGGAGGCGCAUUCCAGCCUGGCAGAGGACAUGCAUGCAAUGCAGGAGGUGCAUUCCAGCCUGGCAGAGGACGUGCAUGCAAUGCAGGAGGCGCAUUCCAGCCUGGCAGAGGACAUCCAGGAGAUCCAGGAGAUGCUUGGCCUGGUGAGGACAGGGCUUCCCUCCAGGAUCUGUGUGAGGAGAUGUGCAAGUUUAAGGAGGUGCAGUCUGGCCUGGCAGAGGAGAUGCGGGCCAUGCAGAAGGCGCGUUCUGGCCUGGCAGAGGACAUCCAGGAGAUCCAGGAGACGCUUGGCCUGGAAGAACCUGUCCGUGCCCAGGGCUAUGCUGGAGGUGGUUCAGCUUGGUGUGGUGGAAGCAGAUCAGCACAGCGCCUGCCUGGUUGGACCAAUGCAUCUCAUUGUCCUUCUGUCCCAUGCUGAAGGUUCCUCAAGAGCUCAGCUCAGGCAUCCAGAUAAGAGGCAAGUCUCCAAAAUGGCCAGUGCUCAGUGUCCAGAGGACUUCAGGAAACCUGACCCAUCGGUCUGUCCUCUCCAUAAGCCCAGCCUGAAGACAGCCAUGUCCUCAGGCCAUCACGCACCGAGCGUCAGGCUCAGAGCUGCAGCCCCUGUCUUCCUCAGGGACUGGGCAGAGCUGCUCCUCUCCCAGCAGCUCCCAUCAGCUCCCAUCAGCUGCCACCAGUGAGAUGCAUCAAAAUGAGGGGCAGCUGUGGGGGGAAGGAGCAGGGGCAGCUGAGUCACCUCAGGAUGGGUGUAAAUGCUCCCAGUCCCUUUGAAUAUGUCAGUGCGGAGACGAGAUGCAAGGGCACAAACGUCCAUUCUUUCUGCUCGGAUGAGUCCUGAGUUGACUUUUCCAGCGCAGGCGGCAGCUCUCGGUUUCAUCCCCGGUGCUUCUGUGAGACAUUUACCAACCUCUGGGACCCCUGAGGGCCACAGCAAAGUUCAUUCUCUCCUGCUUGUUUGGUUUCUCUUUGCUGCUGCUGUGCAUUGGGUCUGACAGAACAGCAAGGAAGGCAUCUGAGGAUGCUGCUGGCUGGGGAGCGAAGGCUUUCAGAUCCAGCCCUGGCACAGAGAGCUGCUGUCCCCAAGGAGGUGACAUGCUCCUCAUGAGGCCGGUCCCUUGAGACCUGCCUCAUGCCUGCAGACCAGCGUGGAAAUCACUGGACACAGCCAGAGAAACAGAGAAUCAUAGAACCAUAGAAUGCCCUGAGUUGGAAGGGACCCACAGGGGUCACUGAGUCCAACUCCUGUCCCUGCACAGGACAACUCCAGAAUUCACGCCACGUGUCUCAGGGCGUUGUCCAGGCGCUUCUUGAAUAUUUUCGCUCUUGGGGCUGUGACCGAAUACAACGUGAUCAUUGAAGUGCAGGCACAUGGUGGCUGCAGAAAGUUGCAUCAGCUUUUACUUUUCCUUGCCAGCUGAAAUGCAAACUGUCACUCAUCUCCCACUGCUCCGGGGAUCUAUUCAGAAGAACACGAGACAUGUCGUGGCCCACACUGCACUUACAUGUCAAGGUUUCAGAAAGAAAUGAGCUCCGCUUCCACAUAUAGCAGCUGAGAAACAAUUACUGCCCUUGCCUCUGCAACAAAGGUUUUCACUAUUGUUUUCUUCUGCACUGGCGUCACACUGCACAGGGUCAUUUUUCUGCUGAUGGGUGGUAACUCACUGAGCUUCAGUGGCCCAAAAUGGGGCUGAGCUCAAGAGGCUCGAGGGAAAUUGGGUUUCCAGGAUGAGUUCUUGCUGAGACCUGAACCAAAGUACCGUGUUUCUAAUUGACUUUAUUCCUAUCAAUUCGAGCCUGUAGAGAAAGUGCCAGCAAAGACACAGAGGGAAUGUCCUCAGUUGACUCUGCACCCGGUGCUCCCGCCCUGAACUCCCCCUUCCUCUGCUGCCCCAACGAGCAGCAGCACCAGCCCUGCAGUACAUCUCUUUUCCUUGUCGCUCACGAAAGCGCAGAUUUGGGGAAGGGAGGGGAUUCAUCUGUGUCUUCCUCACUCUCAAAGGGAUCAGGUGCCUGAGCAGCCUCCAGGCAUUAUAAACACAGACCAACUGCACUCAGACUUUCCUGGAGGAUGCAUUAGCUGAAUCCACUUCUCUGGGCUCAGGACAGGAAAAACCAGUGGAGAGGAGGGAGCAAGUACGUGAUCAAUGGUCUCUUUGAUGCACAAAUCUGUAAACUUAUAUCAUUGGGUCUUUGGUCCAUUCAAAUGUCCUCCCUAACAGACUCUGAGCCCAGCCUGAACUCCACAGUGGGACUCCAGAGCCAUUUUUAGGCCUCUUGUUUUGCAUUCGUCAGGUCAGCACUCACCAUGAACAGCCAAAUGCUUGGUGCACCCGCCUGGCUGGUUCAUCCUUCACCUAUAUCCAUUCUCCACACUUUCCCAACAUCCUGAGGGGGAAGGUGAGUUUCAGUACGCAGCACAUGGCUGUGCAGCGAAAUCCACAUCUGUAGAUGUGCUGGGUGUGGUGGUGCAAGAUCUCUGAAGCUCUUCCAAAGCACCAGCCCCCACCCUGCUGUGACGUCCCUCUUAAACACCUCAGAGCUUAGUCUGGGUGGAAGGUCCGAAUGUGAACACCAGCGCUAAUGCUGAUUUGAAACUCUACUCCUGUCCCGGCCUGCUCUCCCUAUUUUGCCUGCUUUGCUGGGAUACUGUCUCCUGCAACCAGAAUCCACCUACCAGAAAAGGCACCCCAUGGCCUCUGGGGUGAAGAUGCUCUGAUGCUUCCAACCCUCCCAGGAAAUGGAGAGACACUUCAAAAUCUUUGGUUAUUUUAAUAGUAUGAAAGGGACUCAGCAACUGGGCAGGACAAAAGAGCUAGGAAGGUUUGGAACCUUCACGGACGUAACACAACAUCCCUAGGGCUCUCUGUCCUCCUCUUGCCCUUAAUGCUCGUGCUUAGCUGCUCGCCGGUGGCUCUCCAUGUCCUUCGUUUCACCUCCGUAACGAUGUCAUUGAGGUCUAGGAUAGACUGCUGAAUCUAAGGUAGGGAAGAGAGAUGGCAGAGGUCAGAGCAGGGCUGGGAACAGGAGGCAGAGAGGAGCCCAUUGGCCCUUUUGGAGUGCAAAUUUCACCAACCAAAUGAGCAGGAGGAUAAAGGCAAUUGCCCUGCUGGAUCUGCACCACCAGAAUGGGCUUUUACAGGUCCUUGCGCGUCCUCACCAGCAGCUUGUAGCGGGAAAUGACGUCCUGGAUGUCCUCAAACUGCAGCACAAGGAUCCUGGGUUUAGUAAUGCCCCUGCCCUCCCCUCAUGACUGCAAGUCUCAUGCUGUUUGGCACCCUGUCCUGACCAGGGACAACACCCCCCCCAGCUGAAAGAUCUUCCCCUCUUGGCGAGCCUGUUGCCCCAGCUGGUUUGUGAGCAUUGCCACAUUCCCUGUUUGAUGACACCCCAUUGUGCCGGUCCCAGAGCUGCCACUGCCAGCAGCAAGGGGACAUGUUGUACCACUCCCCAGGUGAGAAGUGCUCUGAUAGGAGACAAAGCACAACUGCAGCUGCCAGCGCCAAGUCACCCAGCCAUGGGAGUGGGGCAGCCGGACCGCAGGAGUGUGAGCGAUGCAGGGAGGGACGCGCGGACACCCUUGAGAGAGGCCACAGCUUUUCUGACAGCUGCCUGGGCUCCCAUUCUCGGGCAGCUUUGCACUUCUCCCAAACCAUCCAUGUCACAUGAAACAGUGACACAAAGGGGUCCCCAUUCCCCUCAGCUCUGUGCCUUUCCCCCUUCUAACACUUUUUCUUUGGUUUUCUCAAGCCUCCAUCUCCUUCUCUGCUUUUCCUCCCCUCACUCUGGUCCCCUUGGCUCACCUUGCUUGCAGGGAACCUCCUCCCAUCCCACCUGAGGUCUCUGGGUUUGACCAAGUGUCAUGAUUUCCCUGGACUUGCCUUAUCUCCUCCAGGUUUGACAUCUGCAUAAAGCCCUCCCUGAGGCCACGAUCUGUCUCUCCCAUGUCCAGACUCACCUGUGGUGAGAUCUUCACCACGUCCUCCAGGUAUUCUUUGAAGAUGGAGUACUUCUGCACUUCCUUGCUCAGCUUCUGGUGUUCCUUUUUCAGGGCUUCGAGUUUCUUCUUAGCCCUCACAAGCUCCAUCUCCUUUUGUGUUUUCUGCUCUCUUUCUCUCAUGGCUUUCUUCAGAGCUUGGACUCGCAGCUUAUCAUCUUCCUAGUGAUGUUUCCCCCACCAAUACACACACACAGAGAAGGAAAGGAAGGCAAGGGAAGAUGGAGCUGGGUCAGCCAGCAGCACUGGGAGGAGAUACACUGACAGGGGACAGACCAGUGCUGCAGCACCCCUGGGAACAUCCUCACUCCCUGUUUAACAUGGUGUGGUACAGGCCCGCCCUGAAACUUUGCUUCCAGAGCUCCAAAGUGCAGACUCUGCAGCAAACUGUUAUCAGGGAGAGAAGAAUCCUGAGAGUUUGCACUGUGACGGAUACGGCCUCGCCUCAAAGUUCACCUCUGGAGCUCAAGACACAGACUCCGCAGUGAACGGUUAUCAGGGUACAGGCUCCUGGAGAGAAGGUCAGCAGCAUUCGGCUUGACAUAUUUCCCCCAGGCAGUAAAUAACAGGGUGAACCUGCCACCGAACUCUUUCAAGUCGCACUUCUCUUUGGGAAAUCUAAGCACUGUUCUGCAGUAAGCAGAACCCUAAAUUACUCCCCCACGACACAUGGCCACCCCUCUUGCACUGACCCUUUGCUCUUGGAGACAGGCACCUGGGACAGAACUCUGAGUUUCAGACCUACUAGGAUCUGCCCUUGGGAGUCACCUGCGUGUCAACAGUGGGGACAGGCUGAGAUCCUUCUUGGGGGAUGUCUGGGGCCCUCAGGAGAUCACGCUGGUGCUGGACAAGCUCUCUGCUGCCCAAGCGCUAUCAGGGCUUUCCACAUCUGUAGUACACACCCCCAUGCCCUGCCAGUCCUGUCCCUCACCCCUCCAGGCUCAAGGGAGGCUUGGACACAAGUGCUGGCCCAAGACUGUCUCCCCGGGGAAGGGGAGAAGGUGGCGCUGUGGCUCAGGGUCACGUCAGAGGAGCUGAUCAGGGGCAGGCGUACCUUUAACCUCCUCAUAGAUUUCUCCAUGUAGGUUUUCAGCUGGUCCUCCUUGGCAUGGAGUUCCCUCCACCGGCGGGCUAUGUCGGCCAUCGUCUCCUUGAAGGCCUGGCAGCACCAGAGCGAGCGUGACGUGGCCGUCCGCACCUGGAGCCACUCACUGCCCAUUGCUGCCCUCCAAAAAACCACAACACCCCUACCAUGCCCCAGCACCCUCCCAUCUUUCUCACCUCUUGCUUCUCCUCCAGAGCCUUUUGCACCUGCUUGGCUUCUUUCCUCUUCUCCUGGAGGCGAACAAAUGGAGACAGGGAGCCCUCCUCUGUCAGCCUGUGUUUCCUGCCACAGAAGUUUCCAUCAAGGUUACACGUUGGGUCUGGUGCCUGGGCAGGGUGCUGGACUGUGUCCAGAGUGGGAUGACGGGCCAGAGCAACCCAGCACCAUCUCAGAUGCCGUCUGGCCGCAUGGCAUCCCCAGCAGGGAACCCUCUGACAGAGCAAGGGGGGGCACAGGGAGGAACAGGGUGGGGAAGGGAGGGAGGAGAGGAGGCUGAAGUGGUGGAGAUCGGGGAGUUUGCCACCGUGGGGGAAGGAGGGAUGGAGGAAACGGGAGAAGAGGAUGGAGGGCAUGGAGGUGGGUGGAGGAGUCCCCUCACCUGAGCAAGGGCAGGAGGUUCUGCCUGUACUGCUUGAGGAAAUAGGCUGGCAGGUCCUCUUCAUCUUUGGCAGCCAUCGCUUCAGCCACCAGCAGGGCCCAGAAAGCCCAGGUCCUCCAAAAGCAAUCCGAGUGAUGAAAGUGAUCCAGUCAACAAACAGAUCCAAGUGCCGAAAGUGAUCGAACCACCAAAAGCGGUUCAACCACCAGAACUGGUUCAACCACCAAAAGGGGUUCAACCACUAGAAGUGGUUCAACCACCAAUAGCGAUCCCACCACCAGAAGUGGUUCAACCACCAAAAGCGGUUCAACCACCACAAGUGGUUCAACCACCAGUAGCGAUCCCACCACCAAAAGUGAUGCAACCACCAAGAGCGAUCCCAACACCAAAAGCGAUCCAACUGCCAAAAUGAGUCCACCACCACAGUGAUCCCACCACGGCAAGUGAUCCCACCACGGCCAGUGACCAAAUGGGCGAGGGGCACAGGUGACAGGGGACAAUAUAGUGUCUCUGUUGCCCGGCAACAGCCGCCCCAGGAGCCAGCGGGCGCCGCCCUGGUCCUUUGUGAUGAAGUCACCCACGGGAUGGGAGAUGCUGAGGCUCCCUCCUGCCUUUCCCACUUUACCACCCACAAUGCAGCUGGUGACACCUCAAAUGUUGUGGCAGGUCACUGCAGCCCGUGCCCAGAUUCAAAAGACAAUCGCACAGGUCAUGGGGAAUGAAAUCUCCUUUCACUGAAUUAAAUACCCUCAGUUUUAAUUGCAGAGAGAAUGGCUUUAUCCGUGUUGUGCACUAAAUCAAACUCUCCCGACGUUUCACCCUUUCCUUUCCCCAUGGCACAGUUGGCCUCGGAGGCGAUUCCCCUUGGUGGCAGAUGUGCAGCGACUGGCUCACGAGUGCACCAGCACUGGGAACCUGGGCUGAAAACAAGGUCAAAGUGCCUGGUUUAGGAUGCCUUUCCCUGCGGUUCAUCAAGCAGAAGGAUGUCUUUUGAGAGGGAGCUGUUCUGAAGGGAUUUCUUCUGCCUCUCUUGACCGUUGGCACGAGCCAGCGGCUGCUGACCAGGAAAUGUGCUCAUCGCUUGCUCCCUCAUGAACACUGUCCUGGCCUUUGCAGCUAGAACGACAUAAACCAGAGUAUGUUUCCUGUCACCUGUGCAAGAAGGUGGUUCAAAUGCAAAGGCUGAUCUUGCCUGUAAGCAGCACGAACUGCUCUAGAGACAGCUCUUUGCUGGGGAUGGAGCUGUGAGAGAGGUUCUCCAGCUGGCACGGCUGCCUCCCUUUUGAAACACGGGCCAUCUUUUGCUGGCAUUGCCGUCCCUCAGCCUGAUGGCUCUGACAUCUCCUCUGAUGCUUCAGAAACGGUGCUGCUAUCUGCACAGCCAUUGCAAGAUCCUUUUGCACUGGGAACUGAAGCUGCUCCAUAGCUGAAAGGGAGACCCCAACACAGAAAGCAGGGCUGCCAUGAUUCCUCUGAGAGUGAACCCCACAUCCCAAAGAAAGCCGGUCCUUGGAGAUGGCCAAGUUUGGAGCAGCGCUGUCACACGUGAGCUGCGAGUCACACAAGCAAGAGUUCCAGAGGACGGAGCGUGUCCCCAGAUGGCUUUUGCAAGCGCUGACUGAGGAAGCGGCGUCCUGUCCAGGGACCUCUGCAGAGACAUCUCCAGGCAGAGCAAGACACUGGGGGGCAACAGCCCCCCUCAAACCCCAGUUUUGCACCCCAAGUGGCCGCACGGCAAUGGGCAAGCCUUCAUCCCGGGCCAGAGAUGCUGGAUCCAGAAGUCAUGGCUUGCUCCCGGGAGGGUCUUUUUGUGUCAGAACCUCCUGUGUUUCGCCACGCAUUUUUCACGGUCAAUGACUUUCAUUUCUUUUCCCUCUACGCUCUCCUCCGGUUUUGCCAUGGAGAGCAGAUGCCAACAGUCUGUUCCAGCCUUACGGGAUCUUGCAGACUUCUCCUUUGCUGUCUGUGGUGCUGGUGAUUGCCUUCUGCUGCCCCUGGUUCAUGUUGAAGACUAAUUCCUGGCAGACGUGGUUGGUGCUGCUGAGCAACACUCUUGGCUUUGUGCUAGUGCUCAGUAGGACACCGACAAGAAAGCAGGUGUCAAAAGCCUCUCGGUUCUUGUGUUGAAUGGUGUAGUGUAUCCAGGAGUCUAUUCCAGCAACCUUAAUUGCGGUUAAUGUGGUUAAGAGUACUUGAUAGGGUCCGUCCCAACGUUCUUUUAAAGUUUCUUUAUUCCAAGUUCUUAUAUGCACCGUGUCUCCAUGCUCUGUAUCAUGUACCGGAUUCUCAAGUGCUAGUGGGCGAUUCCACACUGGUGCAGAUCUGAGUUGAUUCAGUGUCCUGCCGAGAGGCAACACAUAAUUGUAGAAGUCCUGGUUACCUUUUACAUGUACACUUGGAUCUGGAUCCGGUGCUUCAUAUGGCUUGCCAUACAGAAUUUCGUAUGGACUUACUGACAUUCCGCUCCUAGGUUUAAUUCUAAUACACAACACCACUAUUGGCAAGGCCUGAGCCCAUUGAAUUUUUGCUUCCUGACAAAUCUUGCUAAGUUGCCUUUUUAGGAUCUAUAGGGCAUGCCUGAGAUUUGCAUGCCUUGGACUACUGGAUGUAUUAACCGAAUAAAGCACAGGAUCAUACAUGGCACAAACAGUAAACCCAGAAAUGCACAUGCUAUCACGAACCCUGUUUUCUUCCACCAGGCUACCAUUUCGAGACCAAUAUCCAUUAGGUGGGCCUGGGUACCAAGUGGGAGCAAUAGAGGUAUUUGAUGAAUUUACCCGCGACACUAGCUUACAAGAGGUUCGUCCAAUGUAUCAGUCAUUUGAGACCCCCCACAUAUCCAGCAUGAGGUGACAUUUAAUUCCUGGGCUAUUUUCCAUAAGAUCUAUAAACAGGUUUUUCCCUACUGUGGGUAAUUGUAA